rnacentral:rRNA from 1 species
AACGAACGCUGGCGGCAUGCCUAACACAUGCAAGUCGAACGAAGCCUUCGGGCUUAGUGGCGCACGGGUGCGUAACGCGUGGGAAUCUGCCCCUUGCUUCGGAAUAACAGUUAGAAAUGACUGCUAAUACCGGAUGAAGUCUUCGGACCAAAGAUUUAUCGGCAAGGGAUGAGCCCGCGUAGGAUUAGGUAGUUGGUGGGGUAAAGGCCUACCAAGCCGACGAUCCUUAGCUGGUCUGAGAGGAUGAUCAGCCACACUGGGACUGAGACACGGCCCAGACUCCUACGGGAGGCAGCAGUGGGGAAUAUUGGACAAGGGACGCAAGUCUGAUACAGCAAUGCCGCGUGAGUGAUGAAGGCCUUAGGGUUGUAAAGCUCUUUUACCAGGGAUGAUAAUGACAGUACCUGGAGAAUAAGCUCCGGCUAACUCCGUG